GUCCAAUUAUGGAGGCGUCCGUGUCUAAAUGACGGGGUUUCUUGGCGACUUUACACCAACUGGCAGUCGCCAGCUUACUCUCUGGGAGGUUAGGAUAGAUGUGGGUAGAGGUCCUUUAGGCGGACAUAAGGGCAUGGCUGAUAGAGUUGGACAAAGUGUCAGACACGGCCCCAUAGCCAAAUAAAUGGCUUGAGUCACUGACUUAGUCAUAGUAGCAUUCAGGAUGGAAUGAAG